UACGUAGGGUCCAAGCGUUGUUCGGAUUUACUGGGCGUAAAGGGCGCGUAGGCGGCGCGGUAAGUCACUUGUGAAAUCUCUGAGCUUAACUCAGAACGGCCAAGUGAUACUGCAGUGCUAGAGUGUGGAAGGGGCAAUCGGAAUUCUUGGUGUAGCGGUGAAAUGCGUAGAUAUCAAGAGGAACACCUGAGGUGAAGACGGGUUGCUGGGCCAACACUGACGCUGAGGCGCGAAAGCCAGGGGAGCAAACAGG
rnacentral:rRNA from 1 species